CCCUUAGAGUUUGAUCCUGGCUCAGAUUGAACGCUGGCGGCAUGCCUUACACAUGCAAGUCGAACGGCAGCACGGGGGCAACCCUGGUGGCGAGUGGCGAACGGGUGAGUAAUACAUCGGAACGUAUCCUGUAGCGGGGGAUAACCUCUCGAAAGAGAGGCUAAUACCGCAUACGACCUACGGGUGAAAGAGGGGGAUCGCAAGACCUCUCACUAUUGGAGCGGCCGAUGUCGGAUUAGCUAGUUGGCGGGGUAACGGCCCACCAAGGCGACGAUCCGUAGCUGGUCUGAGAGGACGACCAGCCACACUGGAACUGAGACACGGUCCAGACUCCUACGGGAGGCAGCAGUGGGGAAUUUUGGACAAUGGGCGCAAGCCUGAUCCAGCCAUGCCGCGUGAGUGAAGAAGGCCUUCGGGUUGUAAAGCUCUUUCGGCGGGGACGAAAAGGUCCGUGCUAACACCACGGAUCCAUGACGGUACCCGCAGAAGAAGCACCGGCUAACUACGUGCCAGCAGCCGCGGUAAUACGUAGGGUGCAGGCGUUAAUCGGAAUUACUGGGCGUAAAGCGUGCGCAGGCGGUCUAUUAAGACAGGUGUGAAAUCCCCGGGCUUAACCUGGGAACUGCGCUUGUAACUGAUAGGCUUGAGUGUGGCAGAGGGGGGGUGGAAUUCCAGGUGUAGCAGUGAAAUGCGUAGAUAUCUGGAGGAACACCGAUGGCGAACGCAGCCCCCUGGGCUAACACUGACGCUCAUGCACGAAAGCGUGGGGAGCAAAC
rnacentral:rRNA from 1 species